GAUGAACGCUGGCGGCGUGCCUAAUACAUGCAAGUCGAGCGAACGGACGAGAAGCUUGCUUUUCUGAUGUUAGCGGCGGACGGGUGAGUAACACGUGUAUAACCUACCUAUAAGACUGGGAUAACUUCGGGAAACCGGAUCUAAUACCGGAUAAUAUUUUGAACCUCAGGGUUCAUAAGUGAAAGACGGUCUUGCUGUCACUUAUAGAUGGAUCCGCGCUGCAUUAGCUAGUUGGUAAGGUAACGGCUUACCAAGGCAACGAUGCAUAGCCGACCUGAGAGGGUGAUCGGCCACACUGGAACUGAGACACGGUCCAGACUCCUACGGGAGGCAGCAGUAGGGAAUCUUCCGCAAUGGGCGAAAGCCUGACGGAGCAACGCCGCGUGAGUGAUGAAGGUCUUCGGAUCGUAAAACUCUGUUAUUAGGGAAGAACAUAUGUGUAAGUAACUGUGCACAUCUUGACGGUACCUAAUCAGAAAGCCACGGCUAACUACGCG
rnacentral:rRNA from 1 species